rnacentral:lncRNA from 1 species
AUUGUUACAUCUUCCCGGCUGGUCUCUCCUCUUUCCCAGCAUCUCCUUCUUCUCCCUCUGCUGGAAUAAUGACUUUGUACUGAAUUCUCACAGGAAGUCUCAGACGAAGACACUGCUAACUCCACUUUCAGAGAGAAACACUGAGGCUCAGAGCUAAACUAACUCGCCUCAGAGCCCACAUCCUGGACUUGAGCCUCAGGGUGUUGCAUGCCAAAGCCUGUCCUCUUCACCCCAGCUUCCUGGGCAUUGGAGCGGAUCCAUAGUGUUAGAUAUGCAGUGGGAAUGGCCCCCAUUCCAAGCCACUUCCUGACCUGAUGGCAGCACCCUGCUAGUCCUCACAUGGAGCCCUGGAGAAGCCGGGUUCCUUAACCCAGAUUUGAAUCAAUAGCCUCACACCUGGUAUGCACAUCCAGGCCAAGUGUGGCUGAAUGGGGAGCAUCUGUUCUGGAGACGGCCACCCUCAUGGGCUCCUCUGCUUCCUGUCCCUUCGGGCACUGAUUUAUGGCACACAGCAGGGAAGGGCCUGAGCUUGAGCCCUGACCAUCGUUAUCAUCACCAUCUUCAUUCCAGUGCAGUGAAGAACAUUCUGAAGGUAGAGAUGAAGGUCUUCUUUCUGAAUGAAGCUCCUUGCAUGAUUCAGGGAUCUUCCUCUUGAAGGCACCAAUCAUUUUGACUUUAAUGCAUGCACUCUGACUUACUUGUGGUGAUCUCUCCUGGAAAUACAUGGAAAAAUGAAAAAUAGGCUAACUGGGGAGAUUUCUUAAAUACCAGUUUGUAUGGCUGUGUUAACCUGAAUGAUUAAAUAUAGGAUUGUUUUUUAAGUUA